AUUGAACGCUGGCGGCAUGCCUUACACAUGCAAGUCGAACGGCAGCACGGGGCAACCUGGUGGCGAGUGGCGAACGGGUGAGUAAUGCAUCGGAACGUACCUUUCAGUGGGGGAUAACGUAGCGAAAGUUACGCUAAUACCGCAUAUUCUGUGAGCAGGAAAGCAGGGGAUCGCAAGACCUUGCGCUGAUUGAGCGGCCGAUGUCAGAUUAGCUAGUUGGUGAGGUAAAGGCUCACCAAGGCGACGAUCUGUAGCGGGUCUGAGAGGAUGAUCCGCCACACUGGAACUGAGACACGGUCCAGACUCCUACGGGAGUCAGCAGUGGGGAAUUUUGGACAAUGGGGGCAACCCUGAUCCAGCCAUGCCGCGUGAGUGAAGAAGGCCUUCGGGUUGUAAAGCUCUCUCGGCCGGGAAGAAAUCGCACGGGCUAAUACCCUGUGUGGAUGACGGUACCGGAAUAAGAAGCACCGGCUAACUACGUGCCAGCAGCCGCAGUAACAC
rnacentral:rRNA from 1 species